rnacentral:tRNA from 1 species
GCCGAAAUAGCUCAGUUGGGUGAGCGUUAAACCAUAGAUCGAACGGUUCCUGGUUCGAUCCCGGGAUUCGGCA